AAACAAUACAAAUAAAAAACACAUAUUAUUAGAAGAACACACUGCCGCCCCGCCAACUGACGUUUGAGCUCCAAUGUCUCUGGCAGUGGAGUGAGGCAGGAAUCUGCACACCCGGCGUGGCCCUCGGUGGUAUAUGGAGUCGUUGUUGUUCGGUGUCCGCUUUGUGAAGGCGGAGGGUUGGGGAGUGAUGUGCACCUCUGCUGGCGCCUUCUAGCUAUUUGAAUCCCUCCUGCUGCGGCUAGUAAGUGUUGCCGUGUGAGCGCUGUGGGCUUGUUCUGAGGGCUGAAGUGGUGUCGUGCCUCGUGUGCCGUUUGCCUGAGUUGGGCAGAGGGUUAGUUAGCCGGGUCUGGUGGGUUGGUGCUGCGUCGCUUGUAGCCCCUCCGUCCUCUGUGCCCUGUGCGGGUGCAAGAAUCACGAAGCCUAGGCUUGGCAUGUAACGUAGUGGUGUGGCUCUGUGUCCGCUCUGAUCAGGCUGCCAGUAAUAGGUACGUGGGGCCUGCCCUGUGUUUGUGGGGAUUGCAAUCCUCUGGGGGCGAUAGGUGGCAGGCUCCCCUGAUGUGAGGUGGCAGGCUUUAUCUGGUCGCCUGGGUCUUGGGAUCUCCGUUGCGGAGGGGAUUGCAGUGUGUGGGCCGGGAUCACCCCCACCGGCCCAGGGGGGGGAGACGGGGCCCGGACCGCCAAUCCGAGGAAGUCCGGCUGAUUAUCGUCGAGCAGGAUAGCGGGGCAGCGGCCGUCUGCCCCACUCACCGCCUGAGUAGGCCUCAUCCCAUGAGGACGACGUAUAUCUCUCCGAGGGACUGAAACAUAUUCUGCGAGCCUCUCCCCGGGUCCGGUGCUUCUCCGUGUGCCGGCCCAUCGCUCUUGGUCGGCUGGACGGAUCAGUAAGUCAGUUUUUGGGGCCCGAAAAGGCAGAAAGCUGUCGGAGCCGCCGUUCCAUGCGACCAGCCAGCAUGGCGGCCAGGCCCCGCCCCCC